UACGUAGGGGGCAAGCGUUGUCCGGAAUCAUUGGGCGUAAAGCGCGCGUAGGCGGCCCGGUAAGUCCGCUCUGAAAGUCCAGGGCUUAACCCUGGAAAGCGGGUGGAUACUGCCGGGCUUGAAUCCGGAAGAGGCGAGUGGAAUUCCUGGUGUAGCGGUGGAAUGCGCAGAUAUCAGGAGGAACACCAAUGGCGAAGGCAGCUCGCUGGGACGGUACUGACGCUGAGACGCGAAAGCGUGGGGAGCAAACAGG
rnacentral:rRNA from 1 species